rnacentral:lncRNA from 1 species
GCCCUUUCACAGUAUGCCAACAUCACAUUUCAUAAAAUCGUUUGGUUUUGGGCGAUCAGCUCUCGGCAGUUUUUCGAGGCACCUAAAAAAUAAGGCUUCCAGCAAUUCGCCGAGCGUAUUCGCGUUAUCGGCUAACUCUUUCAAGCGAUCGUAUGCCGUGCAAAUUAAUGAAUUUAGACAUCUCGGACAGAUAAUAAAUCGUGAAAAAUCAACAUUAACAGGGUAAGCGCCUAAAUAUUAUGUAUUUUGUAUAAAUUGUUUAUGUAUCAAUUUGUGGUAAUAUAUAUGGCACUGGUGGGUGGCCUGUGUUGUAGCUAUGGUCAUUGGUCAAUUAGCCUGAAAACAGAAUUGGUCAAUGGAUUUUCCCUGGAUGCAAUUUUCGCUUGGUGCUACAUACAUUAGUAACCAAUUUAAUUUUAGCCAAGAAACUUGUCAUGGAAACUACGAAUACGAUCGCUACUAAUUCUCGACGAAGGGCCUUCGCUCAAAACGUCAAAGACAAAGUUCUCCUUGUAUUUUUCACGUAGUUUUAUCCCUAUCAAAUACGAAGCUUUUUUAUAUAAACUGGCACUACCACACUUGGCACAGGCUGUUCGGAAAAGCUGUCGCAUACUCGCAUUCAAGCUAUUCUAUAUGAAGCUAUCAAUAACAUUUUUUUUCGCAUACAACAUUCCCUAACAAAAUAAUUAUGUUAUUAGAAAUUUUCACAGGCUCUUUGACACUUUUGACAAUGUCACAAUGAAUCAGCAUUUCCAUUUGAGACUGUUUCGCAUUGAUAUAAACGACAUAACUGGUUAAUGACGGGCAACGGCAAAGUGCCAAAGACGAAAGCGUGCGUUCUCCCGGCUGAGAAAUUUUCAUCCAGCAUUAUUGAAAACGAUUUAACUGAACCAUAUGAUAUAUGACUUUUUGGCGUUCAUACUAUACGUUCACACGACUGAAGUAGAGUCCCAGCGUAGGUAAAAUGACAGGAGACAUGUUGUCAGACAAACUGACGCAGCAUUAUUUUUUUCAUAUCUCAUACAGCCUGUGUCCUAUAAGACGAAUAGUUGUACUGAUCAAUAAUGAGGUAAUAGUGUAUAAAUAUAAUGUACGAUGUAUAUAAUUGAGAUAUACUACAUACUAACAUACAUAGCGUAUCACAUGCUGGUAGCGUGCCUCUUGUCAUUUACGUAAUAAGUUCAAAGUCUGUGUUUACCUUUGACGCACACAGGUUGUGACGUACAGUGAUAUAAUGAGUGAUUUGAAAGUCAAUGAGCUUUACGUCAGUUCCGUUUGUAACUAUUCCGUUUGCUGAUAAAUGACUAGCCUGCGUGGUAGACGAUCAGCCCGCUGCGGAAGACCUAAAAGGCGGGCGAGGCGAAGCCGGGCCGGUUAAAUUUUAACCCAGGGUUAGCGAUAAUAAAGCUUUAAACUAUUGGCCCCAAAUAUACAGUGUAUGUCGUCUGUACUGUAGAAAUUACGUCAUACCCACAGAGGCCUAGCCUCUACCACAGUUAAUAAAAUAUUUUAUUAACUGUGCCUCUACCCUACAGUCUACAGACAUCAUGCACGACCAUGAUUGACCUAUCUGUAGGCCAACAGCCAAUCAAAACAGAGAACCCCCACCCAAACACAAGUUUUUAAAGACAGACAAUUUACUUCCGAUCAAUUUCUAUCAGUUGGAACGCAACUGGCUAAAGUUAAACUGGCUGGUCAAAACAGGAUGAAAGUUGCCAACUCUCUUGCUCCGGUUAUAUAAAAGUAUGAAUUAUUUCCCUUGACACUUCUGUGUUAUUAAUUAAAGGAGAAAAUAUUUUGGGUUAGAAUUUCCAGAAACAACCGGCGAUUGUCUCAUUGUUGGCGCAUCUGCGUAACUUCGACUAAGUUUGGCAGCUUGCCGGCGCAGUACAAAACUUUAAAAUCAGUAGUAUUGAUAUAAAUCAGUAAAUCAAAAUCAGUUGUGACGUUUUCUCCUGGUUGUUAAGCUUCAAAGGAAAUAGAUUGAUUUUUGCUUUAAAAUAGUACUGACAGAAAAAAUUAAUCAGUAAACAACCUUGGCGUAUGUUGACGAUUGCUUUGGCGUACCUCCGGCGUGUCAAUAACAUGGAAUCCACCCUGGAUUGGAACUCUGAAUUCCCGCCAACAAUCUCCCAAUUCUUGAGAAAACAUAUGUUUACUUAUAUUUCAUUACUCACAGACCAUCCAGUGUCGAUGAUGGAGGUCCAGAACCCAUGUACGACAAGGUCAACUCUGGCUAUCAAGUUUUCCAUACGAAAGAGAGGUUUCAGUUCUUCAGAGGUGGUGAGAUUCCUGAGCUAGUAUUGGCUUACGAAACAUGGGGCGAACUGAACGAAAAGAAAGAUAAUGUGAUAUUGUUAUUUACUGGAC